rnacentral:rRNA from 1 species
UACGUAGGGACCAAGCGUUGUUCGGAUUUACUGGGCGUAAAGGGCGCGUAGGCGGCAAUUCAAGUCAGCUGUGAAAUCUCCGGGCUUAACUCGGAACGGCCAAUCGAUACUGACGUGCUAGAGUGCAGAAAGGGCAAUCGGAAUUCUUGGUGUAGCGGUGAAAUGCGUAGAUAUCAAGAGGAACACCUGAGGCGAAGGCGGGUUGCUAGGCUGACACUGACGCUGAGUGCGCGAAAGCCAGGGGAGCAAACGGG